UACAGGGGGGUGCAAACGUUGCUCGGAAUCAUUGGGCGUAAAGCGCACGUAGGCGGUUCGUUAUGUCGGAUGUGAAAGCCCUUGGCUUAACCGAGGAAGUGCAUCCGAAACUGGCGAGCUAGAGUACUAAAGAGGAUCGCGGAAUUCCCGGUGUAGAGGUGAAAUUCGUAGAUAUCGGGAGGAACACCGGUGGCGAAGGCGGCGAUCUGGGUAGAUACUGACGCUGAGGUGCGAAAGCGUGGGGAGCAAACAGG
rnacentral:rRNA from 1 species